UCGUCCUCAUGGUGUGUAGCUUGAAUUUUCUUCUACAUUUGGACAUUGCCAAAAUUGUCCCAAUAUUUGUAGGAUCCGUCCAAGACUUGUUCACUCAUUUCAGCUUGGGAUUGAUCACAACUUCAUAACAAACAUCUUGGAGCUCUUCGCACCGAGUUACCUCCAUCUCAGCUAGUGUAGCCUUGAGAUGAUCGUUUUCUUAAUCUUUAGAAGUUAACUUAGCUCGAAGAGAUGCCUACAGAUCUUUUAGUUGUCCGGCCUGCCUCAACCACCUUUUUUAUAAGCUCAAGAUCUUUUAUUAUCUUAGCUCUAUCAGUAUGAACACUCUGCAGUUGUUGCUCAAUCUUAAUCCUAGCCUGUUUCAUAUAGAGAACAUUCUGAUAACCCUACAAAAAAAUAAAAUCAAAGUAACACAAAUCAAUCAAUAGUAAUUUCAUUUCAAAGAAAAAAUGAAAGAAAACAUGAGCUUAAUUACCAUGAAGGCUGAAGAAACAAACACAUCAUAAGCCUAGGAAACUCCAUAGUAGUUCAGCACGACCUUAUCCUCCUCAAGUACAGCUUCUUAGGCUGCCUUGACAAUUCAUUAUACCAGUGUGAACCGAAGCGCCAGAAUAUUUAAAUACAUGGACAGAACCGUCAAAUAAGAAAUCCUUAUCAGCCACGGAAGCCAGUUUGCCUGGGGAGCGACCUGUUGGGACAUUGACCCGUUGAACAUCGAUCGAGAUUGGCUGCUCCGCUGGCUCACUCGAACUUGUAGCAUGUUUCUUCUUCUCUUUCUUUUUCUUCUUCUUCUUUUUGGCCAAGAAGGCUUCAUGAUCAACUUCAUUCGGAUUGUAAUGGAAUUUCAAGUUAGCCACCCAAGUGUCUGCAUACACUC
rnacentral:lncRNA from 1 species